GCGCCGAUGGUGCAAGGCGAACAUUGGUGCCCGGAAAGCAGAAGAUGCGGGUUCGAGUCCCGCCUGGCGCA
rfam:Heligmosomoides polygyrus genome assembly, scaffold: HPBE_scaffold0002631